GAUUUGCCCUCAAAAUUCUAGGCCCUUUCUCAAUUCAUCAAAUAUAUGGCUGAUCUCAACACAACAACCACAAAUGGCGUUUUCCUGCAGCGGCUUAACCCUUAAGCUUCAUGUUCUAGAGCGACCAUAUCUUAGAAGGAUUGGUUGAGGAAGGUUUUACACCAAAUCAUUCCCCUCCCCCCCCCCCUGUGAGUGGUUAAAUUGGCGGAGUCGAUCUUUAUUCUUCAUAAUUUCCGCUCCCUAAGGUUUGCUUCUCGACGCCGGACCUCUUAUCUUCGAUUUACCGCCCUCCGCCUCUACUUCGAUCAUCCUCAACCUUCAACUCCUAAAAAUCAAGGUUUAAUUUUGAUAUUAGCUCACAGAGCAUCGGAGAGAGAUUAGAAGAGUGAUGGAAGUUCUCGCUAAGAAUACAAAGGAAGUUCUUCUUCAAUCAACUGUUCGAAAACACCAACGAUUUCUCUCCAAACAUGCCCUCAUUUUCGUAGCCAAAUUUGCAUAAAAUGGCGUCGUCUUCAACUGGAUUAGUCUCUAAAGCAAGGACGGCCUUCCAUUACACCACCGCUAAUGCCAAGAAAGUCUUCACC